AACGUAGGAGACAAACGUUAUCCGGAGUUACUGGGCGUAAAGGGCGUGUAGGUGGUUCUGUAAGUCUGGCGUGAAAUUUUUCGGCUUAACCGGGAAAGGUCGUCGGAUACUGCAGGGCUAGAGGACGGUAGAGGCGUGUGGAAUUCCGGGUGUAGUGGUGAAAUGCGUAGAGAUCCGGAGGAACACCAGUGGCGAAGGCGACACGCUGGGCCGUACCUGACGCUAAAGCGCGACAGCAUGGGGAGCAAACGGG
rnacentral:rRNA from 1 species